CCUGGGGGGGGGUGGGUGGGGCGCCCCAAGAUGGUUCUGUGACCCUCAUGAGGUCAGGUGACCGGGGUCCUGACUGGCAGCCAAAGGAGAAGGAUUGGCCGGAAGGACCAGGCCUGGCCGGGUGUUGGGGGCUUUUGUGAAUAUCAAAUUGUGGAAGUAUUUAGUAACGUACUAUGCCAUAUGCUGGCUUAUUGGACUAGUGCUGAGACCUAACCAUUAGCAGCCCCUCUCCCACCCCUAAGAAAUGAUGAAUUCCAGGCCCAUGAUACUGAAGCUGCUCAGAUCAACCACUCUUGAGCAAUAGAUUGUUGGUUAGUGUUUGGCACGUGAUAAGGACAUCCCAGAUUCCAUGAACAGUGGGGCAGAGGCAGAAAAUGGAGGAUGGGACAGGUGGCACAGAGCAAGCAUAUUUAAGGCAGCAGUUUGGAAGCUUGAGGAUGGGACUGAGUUUCUUAUUCACAAACCCAGGACUCUCUCCUGUGCUGGCCUAAGCACAGAUUCUGUUUCCCUGGGAUUCUAUAAGCAGGCAAGUGGUUAUAGUAUCAUUUCACGAGUUCUUACUCUCAUACUAGGGGCACAUGCAAAGCUGGCCCAGAUAUUUAAUCAGGCCAUGGGACGCAAAGCAGUGUCUCAUAGCCCAGUGAUUGUCGCCUGAACAAAUUGGUGACCAUUUGGCAAAGACUUUAUGUAUUGGGCUUCCCUUGUGGCUCAGCUGGUAAAGAAUCCACCUGCAAUNNNNNNNNNNNNNNNNNNNNNNNNNNNNGGGAAGAUCCCCUGGAGAAGGGAACAACCACCCACUCCAGUAUUCUGGCCCGGAGAAUUCCUUGGAUGGUUGCAGAGUCAGACACGACUGAGUGACUUUGACUUUCACUUUAUGUCUACACAUUCUGGGAGGCUACUGUGUCCUGUAAGCAGUUAGAUUGGGGAUCAGUCAUAUGAAAUGCACUUAUUCAACAAAUGCUUACUGAGCACCCACCAUGUGCCAGGCUCUGAGGGCCCUUCUGAGAUGAAAGAAAGUCAGUGCUGGUGCCUAGAGAGUUCACAGCCUGGUGGACAAGACCACCAGGGCACAAGGAAGGAUUACAUAGGCGCCGUCAAAGAUGAGCACAGGAGAGGAGUGAUUGCUGCUGUCUAGGACUCUAAAAAGUUCCUUGUAAGUCUAGAAAAUGAAUUUGAAUAGGAGGAAGAUAGGGGGGCUAUUUCAGGAAUAUUGAUGCUGAUAAACUGCUGAGUAUGAAAGAUAUCUCAUUUCAGCCAAAGUCUUUUCCCUCCCUUCCUCCUUCUCCUCCUUUCUCUUUCUUUCCUUCUCUUUCCUUCUUUCCUUCCCCCUCCCCUCAGUCCCUCCCUCCUUACUUGCCUUCCUUCCUUACCCUACAAAAUAUAUAUCUGUUCGAAAAAGCAACUUUGGAUAUACGAGAGACACGGUGACACAGGGGAAAUGGACCACAAUUCUUAACCUGAAACUACUCAGGAGACUCUGUAACUAUCAUUUUCUCCCACCCUGUUUACUGCCAUAUGUUUAUUUAAAACAUUCAUGUCCUUGAGACUCAAAGUUGGUGCUCUGCAGGCUGUGAGAAGGUACAGGAACCUGACUUCUGGGACGCAAUUGCAGUUUUCAGAGUUGGAUGUCUCUUAUGGUUCUCUUUCUUGUGAUUGGCUAAAGUCUUUGCUUAGAAAACUGAGACCCAAGUCCUUCACCCAACUGCCCCCUUCCUGUCUAUAGCUCUUGGGGCUCAGUAGCACCUUAGGUUCCCUUACAUAUCCUGCAACUAUAUUUAAACUGCUCUUUCCCACGGAUUUCCAUUAAUCAUCAAGCAAAACAGCAAUCAAGGAUCCUUGUUCUUCCAGCAACUUCUAGAACCUUCUUCUCUUUGGUUCCCUAUAGCAGUUAUAUGGCCAUAGAAUUAGUGGAGGUCACAGAGGUCUCCAGAAGAUGUCCUCCUUUAUUUUUGCUGGCAAAUUCCUACUCAGGCUUCAAGCCUCAGAUCAAAUGUCACCUCCACUAGGAAGCUUCUCAACCCUUCCAGCAACAUCCAAGAUACAUCUU
ensembl:lncRNA